CCUACGGGAGGCAGCAGUAAGGAAUAUUGGACAAUGGACGCAAGUCUGAUCCAGCCAUGCCGCGUGAAGGAUUAAGGCCCUCUGGGUUGUAAACUUCUUUUAUAGGGGACGAAAAAAGGGCUUUCUAGCUCGACUGACGGUACCCUAUGAAUAAGCACCGGCUAACUCCGUGCCAGCAGCCGCGGUAAUACGGAGGGUGCAAGCGUUAUCCGGAUUCACUGGGUUUAAAGGGUGCGUAGGCGGGUAGGUAAGUCAGUGGUGAAAUCUUCGAGCUCAACUCGGAAACUGCCAUUGAUACUAUUUAUCUUGAAUAUUGUGGAGGUGAGCGGAAUAUGUCAUGUAGCGGUGAAAUGCUUAGAUAUGACAUAGAACACCAAUUGCGUAGGCAGCUCGCUACACAUAUAUUGACGCUGAGGCACGAAAGCGUGGGGAUCAAACAGGAUUAGAUACCCUGGUAGUCCACGCCCUAAACUAUGAUUACUCGACAUAUGCGAUACACUGUAUGUGUCUGAGCGAAAGCAUUAAGUAAUCCACCUGGGAAGUACGACCGCAAGUUGAAACUUAAAGGAAUUAGAGG
rnacentral:rRNA from 1 species